UCUCUCUCUCUCUCACCGACCCAUACCCAUUUCUUAUACCCAAAAAGGUUUAGGUUUAAGCAAACUAGGGUUUGUCUUUCUAUCUCUAUCUUCAGUCCCAGUCGUCCGUACUCAGUAGCCAUGCCGCAGGGAGAUUAUAUAGAGUUACACAGGAAGAGAUUUGGUCGUCGCCAUGAUCACGAGGAGCGUAAACGUAAGAGGGAGGCUCGUGAAGUUAAGGAGCGCUCCCAAAAAGCCCAAAAGACGUUGGGUAUUAAGGGUAAAAUGCUUGCUAAGAAGCGAUAUGCUGAAAAAGCCCAAAUGAA